rnacentral:tRNA from 1 species
GAGGGUAUAGCUCAGUGGUAGGGUGCAUGUUUAGCAUGCACGAGGUCCUGGGUUCCAUCCCCAGUCACCCCA